GCAGUGGUGGUUCAGUGGUAGAAUUCUUGCCUUCCAUGCAGGAUGCCAGGGUUUGAUUUCUGGCCAACGUA
rnacentral:tRNA from 1 species